rnacentral:rRNA from 1 species
AGAUUGAACGCUGGCGGCAGGCCUAACACAUGCAAGUCGAGCGGUAGAGAGGUGCUUGCAUCUCUUGAGAGCGGCGGACGGGUGAGUAAUGCCUAGGAAUCUGCCUAGUGGUGGGGGAUAACGUUCGGAAACGGACGCUAAUACCGCAUACGUCCUACGGGAGAAAGCGGGGGACCUUCGGGCCUCGCGCCAUUAGAUGAGCCUAGGUCGAUUAGCUAGUUGGUGAGGUAAUGGCUCACCAAGGCGACGAUCCGUAACUGGUCUGAGAGGAUGAUCAGUCACACUGGAACUGAGACACGGUCCAGACUCCUACGGGAGGCAGCAGUGGGAAUAUUGGACAGUGGGCGAAAGCCUGAUCCAGCCAUCGCCGCGUGUGUGAAGAAGUUC